UCAACACAGUUAUUCUUGUGCACCUGAGAGGUCAUUCUUGUAUCAUGGCCGUAUGUAUGUCUCUGCGUGACACAUUUGCUUCCAUUCAAAUAUUUUUUCUAAGCAAAUGAAGGAGGAGCUCUGAUCCUAAAUCACCCAUUCACUUUCAACGUAGUCAUCUCACAUAUAAAGGUGCAAGAAGAACAUCAGAUGGCCUUUUAUGUUUCUUUACAUUAGAAAGCUGCUGGUUUAGUUAAAUUUAUGAGUGAAUGGCUUCUUUUGUAGAUUACUGAAAUAGGCUGGAGUCAUCCACAAGGUCUUAUUAUGAGCUUUUUUAAGUUAUUGGUGUUUGAGGAUUUUUUGUGUACAAAGAAAUACAUUUGAACAACCGCAUUUUUUGCCAUUGUUGGAGGAUAUUUUUAAACA